GGUGCUGGUGCUCAGAAAAGAAUUUUAGUUCGGCCUUAAAACAAUUUUCAAUAAAUUUAAUAAAAAAUAUUAAUUAAGAGUUACUCAAUAGAGGUACAGCUCUCUUGAAAAAGAAUACAACCUAAAAUUUUGGGUAAAGAUUAUAAUUACUAAAGAAAUAUGUUUAAGUGGGCUUGAAAGCAGCCACCUUGAAAGAAAGCGUCACAGCUCUAUCACUAUUAACCCUAACAAUACCUAUAAAUUCCUCCUAACCCACCCCUUAUACUGAGCUAAUCUAUUGAAAAUAGAAUUAUUAAUGCUAGAAUUAGUAACAAGAAAUAAAUUUCUCCUAAUGUAAGUGUAAAUCAGAUUGAACACAUCACCGAUACUUAACGACCCUUCCGAAGGGAUUAUAACAACCACCUACAAGAAAAACCUAUAAUAUUAACCGUUAACCUAACACAAGAACAUUCAAAGAAAGAUUAAAAGACAUUGAAGGAACUCGGCAAACUAGACCCUCGCCUG
rnacentral:rRNA from 1 species